AAGUGAAAUAUCUCGCUGCGCUCGAUGUGAAAUAAUUUGCGCGAGCGCAAAUUGUGAAAUAUUGCUCCUGCGUCGCAAUGUGAAAUAAAAU
rnacentral:sRNA from 10 species